AGAGUUUGAUCCUGGCUCAGGAUGAACGCUGGCGGCGUGCCUAACACAUGCAAGUCGAACGGAGCUGCGACGCUGAGGAGUGGAGUACUUGUACAAAGCGAAUCUUGUCGUAGCUUAGUGGCGGACGGGUGAGUAACGUGUGGAUAACCUGGUCCAUCCAGGGGGAUAGCAGCUGGAAACGGCUGGUAAUACCGCAUAAGCGCACAGUAGGGCAUCCUACGGUGUGAAAAGAUUUAUCGGGAUGGAAUGGAUCCGCAUCUGAUUAGCCAGUUGGCGGGGUAACGGCCCACCAAAGCGACGAUCAGUAGCCGGCCUGAGAGGGCGGACGGCCACAUUGGGACUGAGACACGGCCCAGACUCCUACGGGAGGCAGCAGUGGGGGAUAUUGCACAAUGGAGGGAACUCUGAUGCAGCGACGCCGCGUGGGUGAAGAAGUAUUUCGGUAUGUAAAGCCCUAUCAGCAGGGAAGAUAAUGACGGUACCUGAGUAAGAAGCCCCGGCUAACUACGUGCCAGCAGCCGCGGUAAUACGUAGGGGGCGAGCGUUAUCCGGAUUUACUGGGUGUAAAGGGAGCGCAGACGGCUGUGGAAGUCAGAUGUGGAAGCCCCGGGCAUAACCCGGGGAGUGCAUUUGAAACUCUAUAGCUAGAGUACUGGAGGGGUGAGCGGAAUUCCUGGUGUAGCGGUGAAAUGCGUAGAUAUCAGGAAGAACACCGGUGGCGAAGGCGGCUCACUGGACAGAGACNNNANNNUGAGGCUGGAAAGCGUGAGGAGCAAAACAGGAUUAGAUACCCUCGGUAGUCCACGCCGUAAACGAUGAACACUAGGUGUAGGGAGGCGAAGCGCCUCCCGGGGCCGCAGCAAACGCAAUAAGUGUUCCACCUGGAGAGUACGUCCGCAAGGAUGAAACUCAAAGGAAUUGACGGGGACCCGCACAAGCGGUGGAGCAUGUGGUUUAAUUCGAAGCAACGCGAAGAACCUUACCAGGCCUUGAGAUCCGGAUGAAUAGCAGGUAAUGCUGCUAGCUCUUCGGAGCAUCCGAGACAGGUGGUGCAUGGUUGUCGUCAGCUCGUGUCGUGAGAUGUUGGGUCAAGUCCCGCAACGAGCGCAACCCUUGCCAUCAGUAGCCAGCACGAAAAAGGUGGGCGCUCUGAUGGGACUGCCGGGGACAACCCGGAGGAAGGUGGGGAUGACGUCAAAUCAUCAUGCCCCUUAUGGCAUGGGCUACACACGUGCUACAAUGGCGCAUACAAAGGGAAGCGAAGGCGUGAGCCGGAGCGAAUCCCAAAAAAGGCGCCUCAGUUCGGACUGUAGUCUGCAACCCGACUACACGAAGCUGGAAUCGCUAGUAAUCGCAGAUCAGAAUGCUGCGGUGAAUACGUUCCCGGGUCUUGUACACACCGCCCGUCACACCAUGGGAGUCAGAAAUGCCCGAAGCUCGUGGCUUACUCUCUGUAAGGUGAGAGCGAUCGAAGGCAGGUCUGGUGACUGGG
rnacentral:rRNA from 1 species